AAAUCAUGUAUUUGGCUCAUAAUCAGCCUAGCUUUAUUACAAAUUCACUUAAAUGGUGGCUAUAAACAAGAUUCUGGUUUCUUUUGUGUACGUGAAAAACAUUCUAAAAACCAUAUCAUUUAAAUAAGUAUUAAAUUAAACUAGAGCUAAGUGGAAAUUAUCUGGCAAAAAGGAAUA